GGGGCUGAAAUAGCGUUCGACAGUUGGACUUUAUCAAAAUAUUCUGCAAACCGAACAUGCACGAUACGCAUAUUGUUAAAUGCAAAAAACUUUGCAAGCAAAGUAGCUAGCCUAUUCAAGGCUCCAGCCUUUGCGCCAGCUGUAGCUUAAUCUAUAGCCAUCUCUUCGUAUAGGCAACAUGAUACGAUUUGAGGUGUCAGAAUUUAUGUUGCUCGCUAUGUAUUUGGAAGUGGCAAAUACAUGGGACUUUUGCCACGUAACAAGCUCGGUCUUUUGGGUUCGUUUAUUAUCCAAGCUAUGUUAUAAAACUGUAAAUGAUCCUAUGUUUGUAGACGAAUAUUUAUGAUACCAAUUGGACCCGGGGGCAGUACCCGGCAGCUCCACCA
rnacentral:tmRNA from 1 species